GUAUCCAGAGGGAAGUGACCUCGCGAGAGCAAGCGGAACCCAAAAAGAACGUCGUAGUCCGGAUCGGAGUCUGCAACUCGACUCCGUGAAGUCGGAAUCGCUAGUAAUCGCAAAUCAGAAUGUUGCGGUGAAUACGUUCCCGGGCCUUGUACACACCGCCCGUCACACCAUGGGAGUGGGUUGCACCAGAAGUAGUUAGUCUAACCUUAGGGGGGCGAUUACCACGGCGGGGUUCGUGACUGGGGUGAAGUCGUAACAAGGUAACCA
rnacentral:rRNA from 1 species